UACGGAGGGGGCUAGCGUUGUUCGGAAUUACUGGGCGUAAAGCGCACGUAGGCGGCUUUGUAAGUUAGAGGUGAAAGCCUGGGGCUCAACUCCAGAACUGCCUUUAAGACUGCAUCGCUUGAACACGGGAGAGGUGAGUGGAAUUCCGAGUGUAGAGGUGAAAUUCGUAGAUAUUCGGAAGAACACCAGUGGCGAAGGCGGCUCACUGGACCGUUGUUGACGCUGUGGCGCGAAAGCUAGGGGAGCAAACGGG
rnacentral:rRNA from 1 species